rnacentral:rRNA from 1 species
UACAGAGGGUGCGAGCGUUAAUCGGAAUUACUGGGCGUAAAGCGCACGUAGGCGGCUUGGCAUGUCGGGUGUGAAAUCCCCGGGCUCAACCUGGGAACUGCAUCCGAAACUGCCUUGCUAGAGUAUGGGAGAGGGAAGUGGAAUUUCCGGUGUAGCGGUGAAAUGCGUAGAUAUCGGAAGGAACAUCAGUGGCGAAGGCGACUUCCUGGACCAAUACUGACGCUCAGGUGCGAAAGCGUGGGGAGCAAACAGGAUUAGAUACCCUGGUAGUCCACGCCCUAAACGAUGACAACUAGAUGUCGGGAGGGUUUGCCUUCCGGUGUCGUAGCUAACGCGUUAAGUUGUCCGCCUGGGAAGUACGGCCGCAAGGUUG